rnacentral:rRNA from 1 species
AGAGAGAGACAUGCGCGCAUAUCAAUAAGCGGAGGAAAAGAAACUAACUAGGAUUCCCUCAGUAACGGCGAGUGAAGCGGGAAGAGCUCAAAUUUGAAAUCUUCAAGGUUCUACCUUGACGAAUUGUAGUUUAAAGAAGUGUUUUCUGUUGGAGUUUUGGUAAAAGUUCUUUGGAAUAGGACAUCAUAGAGGGUGAGAAUCCCGUAUUUGACCAUUAUUUCCAGCUUUGUGAUACACUUUCAAAGAGUCGGAUUGUUUGGGAAUGCAGUCCAAAAUGGGUGGUAAAUUUCAUCUAAAGCUAAAUAUUGGCGAGAGACCGAUAGCGAACAAGUACCGUGAGGGAAAGAUGAAAAGGACUUUGAAAAGAGAGUUAAACAGUACGUGAAAUUGUCAAAAGGGAAGCGUUUGACACCAGUGUUGUUUUCUCGAAAAUCAAUUAAAAAAGGCAGGAUUUUGUGUUGUAUUGACUUUAUCAGCUUUCUGCACUCUUUUCUUGUCUUUUUUUAAUGCACUUUUCGUUUAACAAGUCAACAUCAAUUUCUUUUGUUGUAAAAGGGUCAUUGGAAGGUGGCUUUCUUUUCGGAGAAAGUGUUUAUAGCCUUUGGCCUCUGCAAUCGGAGAGAUUGAGGUCUGCAGCGUAGAUCCUUCGGGGUUAGAUACAUUUGUGCUAAGUUAUAGCCUUUCAUAGACAACUUGUUGACUAUGAUCAGUCAUGUAGCUUACUCGCUUAUGCUAUUUUACCUACGCUUAGGAUGUUGAUGUGAUACUGCGAGC